rnacentral:rRNA from 1 species
CCUACGGGAGGCAGCAGUGAGGAAUAUUGGUCAAUGGACGCGAGCCUGAACCAGCCAAGUAGCGUGAAGGAUGACGGCCCUAUGGGUUGUAAACUUCUUUUAUAAGGGAAUAAAGUCAGACACGUGUGCCUGUUUGUAUGUACCUUAUGAAUAAGGAUCGGCUAACUCCGUGCCAGCAGCCGCGGUAAUACGGAGGAUCCAAGCGUUAUCCGGAUUUAUUGGGUUUAAAGGGUGCGUAGACGGUUGGAUAAGUCAGUGGUGAAAUCUUGAGGCUCAACCUUAAAAUUGCAAUUGAUACUGGCCGUCUUGAGUAUAGUUGCGGUAGGCGGAAUGCGUGGUGUAGCGGUGAAAUGCUUAGAUAUCACGAAGAACUCCGAUUGCGAAGGCAGCUUACCAAACUACGUCUGACGUUGAGGCUCGAAAGCGUGGGUAUCAAACAGGAUUAGAUACCCCUGUAGUC